rnacentral:tRNA from 1 species
GGCAUUAUAGUUCAAGUGGUAGAGCACGUGCUUAGCAUGCACGAGGUCCUGGGUUCAAUCCCCAGCACCUCCU